UACAGGGGGUGCAAACGUUGCUCGGAAUCAUUGGGCGUAAAGCGCACGUAGGCGGUUCGUUAUGUCGGAUGUGAAAGCCCUUGGCUUAACCGAGGAAGUGCAUCCGAAACUGGCGAGCUAGAGUACGAAAGAGGAUCGCGGAAUUCCCGGUGUAGAGGUGAAAUUCGUAGAUAUCGGGAGGAACACCGGUGGCGAAGGCGAGUCUCUGGACAUUUCCUGACGCUGAGGCACGAAAGCCAGGGGAGCAAACGGG
rnacentral:rRNA from 1 species